rnacentral:sRNA from 1 species
GGGACUGAGAAUGUCUCCUUUCUGCUCUCUGGUCCCUGGGUACCCCAAAUCCUGCCAACUCCCAACCCUAUGAGCAGAGAAGGGCUUUGCAGGGGGCACCUCCCUUACACUGAACAGACACUCCUGCCCACCCACCGGCCCUGCCCUACCGGAGGGAGCAAUGCACUGGCUUCAGCUUCUUAGCCUGGGAAAUAUGAUGUUCCACAGGAGCCCGUGCCCACGCUGUGGAACGAGCCGGCCGAGCUGCCGUCGGGAGAAGGCCCCGUGGAGAGCACCAGCCCCGGCCGGGAGCCCGUGGACACCGGUCCCCCAGCCCCCACCGUCGCGCCGGGACCCGAGGACAGCACCGCGCAGGAGCGGCUGGACCAGGGCGGCGGGUCGCUGGGGCCUGGCGCCAUCGCGGCCAUCGUGAUCGCCGCCCUGCUGGCCACCUGCGUGGUGCUGGCGCUCGUGGUCGUCGCGCUGAGAAAGUUUUCCGCCUCCUGAA